CAAAAGAAUCAUAUAAGAAGGAAUAAUCACAUUAGGGGUUUGACAUAAUAUUUUCAUACCCUAGUAAUGUGAUUGAGAGUAUUGUUUUAGAGAAGGAUCGAAUUACAUUGUAAUUCCAACUGAAUAGGUUUUCCGAACAAACUUCUACAUUAGCUUGGGUAGCCAUGAUAUAUAGUUAUAUGUCACUCAUGGCUUGUGAGUUCUUCUAAAUGAUUAAAUGUAGUCGUCAAAGAAGAAGGUGAAUUAAAAGUAU
rnacentral:lncRNA from 1 species